AGUGAACGCUGGCGGUAGGCCCAACACAUGCAAGUCGAACGGCAGCACAGUAAGAGCUUGCUCUUACGGGUGGCGAGUGGCGGACGGGUGAGGAAUACAUCGGAAUCUACUUUUUCGUGGGGGAUAACGUAGGGAAACUUACGCUAAUACCGCAUACGACCUACGGGUGAAAGCAGGGGAUCUUCGGACCUUGCGCGAUUGAAUGAGCCGAUGUCGGAUUAGCUAGUUGGCGGGGUAAAGGCCCACCAAGGCGACGAUCCGUAGCUGGUCUGAGAGGAUGAUCAGCCACACUGGAACUGAGACACGGUCCAGACUCCUACGGGAGGCAGCAGUGGGGAAUAUUGGACAAUGGGCGCAAGCCUGAUCCAGCCAUGCCGCGUGAGUGAAGAAGGCCUUCGGGUUGUAAAGCCCUUUUGUUGGGAAAGAAAAGCAGCAGGUUAAUACCCCGCUGUUCUGACGGUACCCAAAGAAUAAGCACCGGCUAACUUCGUG
rnacentral:rRNA from 1 species